rnacentral:rRNA from 1 species
UCGAACGAGAAAGUGGAGCAAUCCAUGAGUAAAGUGGCGACCGGGUGAGUAACACGUGACUAACCUACCUCCGAAUGGGGAAUAACUCCGGGAAACCGGGGCUAAUACCGCAUAACACCGCAAGGUCAAAGCAGCAAUGCGUUUGGAGAGGGGGUCGCGGCUGAUUAGCUAGUUGGCGGGGUAACGGCCCACCAAGGCGAAGAUCGGUAUCCGGCCUGAGAGGGCGCACGGACACACUGGAACUGAAACACGGUCCAGACUCCUACGGGAGGCAGCAGUGGGGAAUUUUGCGCAAUGGGGGAAACCCUGACGCAGCAACGCCGCGUGGAGGAUGAAGCCCCUUGGGGCGUAAACUCCUUUCGACCAAGACGAUAAUGACGGUACUGGUGGAAGAAGCACCGGCUAACUCUGUGCCAGCAGCCGCGGUAAUACAGAGGGUGCGAGCGUUGUUCGGAAUUAUUGGGCGUAAAGGGCGCGUAGGCGGCGCGGUAAGUCACCUGUGAAAUCUCCAGGCUUAACUUGGAGUCUGCAGGCGAAACUACCGUGCUGGAGUAUGGGAGAGGUGCGUGGAAUUCCCGGUGUAGCGGUGAAAUGCG